rnacentral:rRNA from 1 species
GAUGAACGCUGGCGGCGUGCUUAACACAUGCAAGUCGAACGAUGAAGCCCAGCUUGCUGGGUGGAUUAGUGGCGAACGGGUGAGUAACACGUGAGUAACCUGCCCUUGACUCUGGGAUAAGCCUGGGAAACUGGGUCUAAUACUGGAUAUGACUUCUCAUCGCAUGGUGGGGGGUGGAAAGAUUUAUUGGUCUUGGAUGGACUCGCGGCCUAUCAGCUUGUUGGUGAGGUAAUGGCUCACCAAGGCGACGACGGGUAGCCGGCCUGAGAGGGUGACCGGCCACACUGGGACUAAGACACGGCCCAGACUCCUACGGGAGACAGCAGUGGGGAAUAUUGCACAAUGGGCGCAAGCCUGAUGCAGCGACGCCGCGUGAGGGAUGACGGCCUUCGGGUUGUAAACCUCUUUCAGUAGGGAAGAAGCGAGAGUGACGGUACCUGCAGAAGAAGCGCCGGCUAACUACGUG